CGCUGGAGUUUGAAGAGCGGGCAGUAGUUGCACACGCCCAACUUUCCCUAUGGCUUCGGUGACCAGAGCCGUGUUUGGAGAGCUGCCCUCGGGAGGAGGGACAGUGGAAAAGUUCCAGCUGCAGUCAGACCUCCUGAGAGUGGACAUCAUCUCCUGGGGCUGCACGAUCACAGCCCUAGAGGUCAAAGACAGGCAGGGGAGAGCCUCAGACGUGGUGCUUGGCUGCGCCGAGUUGGAAGGAUACCUCCAAAAGCAGCCGUAUUUUGGAGCAGUUACUGGGAGGGUGGCCAACCGAAUCGCCAAAGGAACCUUCAAUGUGGAUGGGAAGGAGUAUCACCUGGCCAUUAACAAGGAACCCAACAGUCUGCAUGGAGGAGUCAGAGGGUUUGAUAAGGUGCUCUGGACCCCUCGGGUGCUGUCCAAUGGCGUCCAGUUCUUGCGCGUCAGUCCAGAUGGUGAGGAAGGCUACCCCGGAGAGUUAAAAGUCUGGGUGACAUACACACUGGAUGGCGGGGAGCUCAUGGUCAACUAUAGAGCACAGGCCAGUCAGGCCACACCAGUCAACCUGACCAAUCUUUCUUACUUCAACCUGGCAGGCCAGGGUUCCCCGAAUAUAUAUGACCAUGAAGUCACCAUAGAAGCGGAUACUUACCUGCCUGUGGAUGAAACCCUGAUUCCUAUAGGAGAAGUUGCCCCGGUGCAAGGAACUGCAUUUGACCUGAGAAAGCCAGUGGAGCUGGGAAAACACCUGCAGGACUUCCAGCUCAAUGGUUUUGACCACAAUUUCUGUCUGAAGCGAUCUAAAGAAAAGCAUUUUUGUGCAAGGGUGCAUCAUGCUGCAAGCGGGCGGGUACUAGAAGUAUACACCACCCAGCCCGGGGUCCAGUUUUACACAGGCAACUUCCUGGAUGGCACAUUAAAGGGCAAGAAUGGAGCUGUCUAUCCCAAGCACUCCGGUUUCUGCCUGGAGACUCAGAACUGGCCUGAUGCAGUCAAUCAGCCCCACUUCCCUCCUGUGCUGCUGAGGCCUGGUGAGGAGUAUGACCACACCACCUGGUUCAAGUUUUCUGUGGCUUAAGAAGGUAUGAAGAUAUGAUCCAGUCCAGGGCUAGGCUCAGUCGCCUGUCUCCUGUCCAGAAAAAAGGUGAAGAUUAAGAAGCUUUCAGAAUGAUUCUACGGAUUAAAAUCAUACAAAUGGUGGCUGUCGUGAGAAUCAGUCUGGGUAUUGAUUUCCUUUUCUAGUGACUGGCUCCAGGCCAUGUCUAAUGACCAGCUCGAUUCCCUGUGCAGUUCAGAGGGCAAGUGAACCCAACCAACAAUGUCGUCAUCUAAGCCCUGAUCCUAGCCAGGGACUCCCAUGCUGCUUUUGGCUCCAUCUCUCCACGCUGCCUCUUUCAACUUUUCGCCCUUCCUUUCUUUAAAGCUAUUCUCGUAUUGCUUUCGUUUCCUCCUCCUUUACCUCCAACCGCUGUCAGCAGCACUCCGGAGUUUUCAAAUGUCACAUUAGCUCACGCUGCAUGCUGGGAGAUGGAUCUGUCUCUA